rnacentral:rRNA from 1 species
GACGAACGCUGGCGGCGUGCUUAACACAUGCAAGUCGAACGGAAAGGCCCUGCUUUUGUGGGGUGCUCGAGUGGCGAACGGGUGAGUAACACGUGAGUAACCUGCCCUUGACUUUGGGAUAACUUCAGGAAACUGGGGCUAAUACCGGAUAGGAGCUCCUGCUGCAUGGUGGGGGUUGGAAAGUUUCGGCGGUUGGGGAUGGACUCGCGGCUUAUCAGCUGGUUGGUGGGGUAGUGGCUUACCAAGGCUUUGACGGGUAGCCGGCCUGAGAGGGUGACCGGCCACAUUGGGACUUGAGAUACGGCCCAGACUCCUACGGGAGGCAGCAGUGGGGAAUAUUGCACAAUGGGCGGAAGCCUGAUGCAGCAACGCCGCGUGCGGGAUGACGGCCUUCGGGUUGUAAACCGCUUUCGCCUGUGACGAAGCGUGAGUGACGGUAAUGGGUAAAGAAGCACCGGCUAACUACGUG